rnacentral:rRNA from 1 species
AACGAACGCUGGCGGCAUGCCUAACACAUGCAAGUCGAACGAUACCUUCGGGUCUUGUUGCGCACGGGUUCGUAACGCGUGGGAACCUUCCCUUAGGUUCGGAAUACCUCCCCGAAAGGGUUGCUAAUACCGGAUAAUUUCUUCUGCCCAAUGAUGUAUCUCCUUUGGAUGGGCCCGCGUUGAAUUUGCUAGUUGGUAGGGUAAAAGCCUACCAAGGGUCCGAUCCAUAGCUGGUCUGAGAGGAGGACCAGCAACACUGGGAGUGAGACCCGGCCCAGACUCUUAAGGGAGGAAGCAGGGGGGAAUAUUGGACAAUGGGCGAAAGAAUGAGCAAGCAAUGCCGUGUGAGUGAGGAAGGAGAUAGGGUUGUAAAGCUGUUUUACAAGGGAUGAUAAUGACGGUACCGGGAGAAUAAGCGCCGGCUAACUACGUG